CUCCUGGCUUCCUUUGGAUGAAGAUGUAGAACUCUCAGCUCCUCCAGUGCUCUGUCUGUCUGGACACAGUUGUGUUUCCUGCCCUGAUGAUAACAGACUGAACCUCUGCACCUGCCCAACAGCAAAGCCCAGUGCAGAAGAAAAAGACACCAUCUCUUAUUUCACUGGAGAUACCGAGAAAUCCAGUUACAGCUCUGGGAUGAAAGCUGCAAGAAGAUGGCAAGAGGGGAAGAAACAUGAUCAGAACCAAGGCCCACAAUUGAGUGAUAGCAGAUCCAGGCAUCCAUAGUGUGGUGCAUUGGAUAAAAAUGGUCCCCAUAGGCCCAUGGGAAUUGGCAAUAUUAGGCACUUGGAGGGAGGGUGUCACUGGGUUAAACUUUGAGGUUUCAGAUACUCAAUGGGCCCAGGGUCACUCUUUCUUCCUGCUUCCUGAUAAUGCAGAUGUAGACCUCUUGGCUAAUUCUCCAGUGCCAUGUCCACCUCCUUGCCCCAUGCUUCCUACCCUAAAGGCAAUGAACUAACUCUCUGAACUCUAAAUCCAGUAAAAGUAAAAUAUUCUAUGUAAGA